UGAGGACAGAAACAUGAAGCAUGGUGGGCAGGGACAGCAACUCUGAGCCCAGGGCAUAGAUUUGUUCCAGAGAGGGUGAACUGCUGCCCUCCCACUUGCAGGAGGAGUCCAGUGUUACUGAGGACUGGCUGGAUGCCUCGGGAAUAUGGUUGCAUAUUCAAACCCCAGGAUUAGUUAACACUGAGAACAAGUUGGGCACUCAGAAGUGGCGAUAGCCAGUGACAAUAGCACCUCUUCCCCAAGGACAGAAGCAAAGGCCAUGGUGAUCUCUACCUUUCCUUUUAAUGUGGCUCAGCAAAUGGAAAAUGACAACUGCUAUGUGCACUCCAGGCCUCCCAGUGUGACUUCUCAGCAUCUCUGCUUUUGCAAUUAGUUUUCACCUCCUCAAAGGAGAGGGCCUCUCUGCCCAUAGGCUUGGCUAAACGAUUUGCCUUGGCCAAAGAGAUGUCAACAAGCAUGAUGUGAGUUCAGUAAGUGUUUGUGCAUUGGUACACUGCUCCCACCAUGUUAAGAAGUCCAAGGAGCCAACUUGCAGAUGAAGGAGAUUCGGAGAGAAAGGUCCAGAUCCUCAGCUGGCUCAUCAGAGCUCAACCCCCUGGAAAUCCCCCAGCUAAAUGCAGCACCAUGAAUGAGCUCAGGUGAAACAGCAGAAGAGCUUCCCAGGUAACUCACAG